AACGCGAAGAACCUUACCUGGGCUUGACAUGCUAGGAUUAUCUCCGUGAAAGCGGAGUAGGCCCUUCGGGGUACAACUAGUACAGGUGCUGCAUGGCUGUCGUCAGCUCGUGUCGUGAGAUGUCGGGUUAAGUCCCUUAACGAGCGAAACCUUUGCCCUUAGUUACCAGCGAGUAAAGUCGGGGACUCUAAGGGGACUGCCGGUGUCAAACCGGAGGAAGGUGGAGAUGACGUCAAGUCCUCAUGGCCUUUAUGCCCAGGGCCACACACGUGCUACAAUGGCGUCCACAGAGCGAACCGAGAGCGCAAGCUGGAGGAAAUCGCACAAAUGACGCCCCAGUUCAGAUCGGAGGCUGCAACUCGCCUCCGUGAAGUUGGAAUCGCUAGUAAUCGCGGAUCAGCUACGCCGCGGUGAAUGUGUUCCCGGGCCUUGUACACACCGCGCAUA
rnacentral:rRNA from 1 species